AUGGUCUGGGAUGGUCUCGGAGAAACUGGGGAUAAUACCGGAUGGGUCACUACUUCUGGAAUGGGUGGUGACUGAAAGGCGACGCCCUUGGAUGGGUCUGCGGCGGAUUAGGUUGACGCCGGUGUAACGUACCGGGCGUGCCUGUAAUCCGUACGGGUUGUGGGAGCAAGAGCCCGGAGAUGGAUUCUGAGACACGAAUCCAGGCCCUACGGGGCGCAGCAGGCGCGAAAACUCUACAAUGCAGGCAACUGCGAUAGGGGGACAUCGAGUGGCACCCACCUUGGGUGCCUGUCCCACCGUCUAAAAAACGGUGGUUAGCAAGGGCCGGGUAAGACCGGUGCCAGCCGCCGCGGUAAUACCGGCGGCUCGAGUGGUGGCCGAUAUUAUUGAGUCUAAAGGGUCCGUAACCGGCUUUGCAAGUCCCCCGGGAAAUCCAGCGGCUUAACCGUUGGGCUUCCGUGGGAUAAUACAUUGCUUGGGACUGGGAGAGGUAGGAGGUUCUCCGGGGGUAGGGGUGAAAUCCUGUUAUCCUCCCGGGACCACCGGUGGCGAAGGCUUCCUACCAGAACAGGUUCCGACGGUGAGGGACGAAAGCUAGGGGCACGAACCGGAUUAGAUACCCGGUUAGUCCUAGCCGUAAACGAUGCCCGCUAGGUGUCACGGCAGUCGUGAAUUGCCGUGGUGCCGUAGGGAAGCCGCGAAGCGGGCCACUUGGGAAGUACGGCCGCAAGGCUGAAACUUAA
rnacentral:rRNA from 1 species